AAGACUAUACUUUCAGGGAUCAUUUCUUUAGUUCAUUACUAGAGAAGUUUCUCUUUGGUGGGAAUGUAAAUUGAUACAGCCACUAUGGAGAACAGUAUGGAGGU
ensembl:snoRNA U3 Small nucleolar RNA U3